AAACCAAAGCUAGUUUCCGGGGGAAGUAUGGUUGCAAAGUUGAAACUUAAGGGAAUUGACGGAAGAUCACACAAUGACUUGGAAUAUGCGGCUUAAUUUGA
rnacentral:ncRNA from 1 species